CUCCCUCGAGUCUUGUCCUCCUGGCUUGCCUGCUCAGGUCACGGAUACUCCGAUCUUGAGAUGAAGCAUUUCUUAAUGUUGCUAGAUACGUAUAAACUAAUAGGAAGGAGCUCCCUCUGAAAACCCAUGCUGAACAGGCGACAUGGUUCAUAAGGAUAUGAGUAACUGAGGGGCCCAAACAAUUCCAUCAGAAGUGAAAUCAAACUAAAGGAGCAUCCAGUGCCGAGGGCAGCAGAGCACCUUCUAGUGUGCCCACAGCCUGCGGUGACCCCAGCUCAGGAAGGGGCGCAGAAGCAACUGCAUCCCUGCUGUCAUUCCCCACGGUUGCAGAUUUACAAACUUCUCCUACAAACACUCCAGUUAGCGACGAAAAGGAUAUUUAAAGAGGCGAACCAUUCUCCCUUUAAAUGUUCUGUUGCACGUGGAAAAUGCACAUGCCCAGUGAAUAUGCAGGAGCAGACAAAUGCUUGCACACCCCCAUGGAGAAUGGGGCUGAGUUUGCACUGUGGAGGAGUUCUAGAUGCCCAUUUUAGUUCUUCAGAAAGCACAGCCGCCUCUUCCGGAUUCAGGACUCCAUCUCCAGCAUCACGGUCUAAGGAGAAUCCACACAAAACAAAAGAAACAUCUCAAAACCAGCUCUGUAUUCAGGAACCUCAGGGCUAAGCAGCCUGAACGAGAGCUGAAGGAGACUCGGCUGGCAAGACUGUGUUGCCACAGCACCUGUUUGGAUACCAGCCAUGUACUCAGCUGCUCCUUCUCUCUCUGGAGGGCCUGAACCUGUUCUGCGAUCUUGACUUUAUCCUCAGCGGUGCUGCUCUCAAGUUGCGAGCUCU